rnacentral:lncRNA from 1 species
AAAGUUUAAUUUUUAAUUAAAUCUGAAAUACCAAUUAUAACUGAAAGAGAUUUUAACCUGUUUCUUUUCAGACUGCCUGAAGUUACAUUGUAGAUGCUGAAAUCACUGCACCUUAAAAACAAAAAGAUUAAGCCACACUGCAUUCCUGUUGGUUUUGCAGAAGUCUCUAUUGGUCUAGAAAAAUGCAUCUGGUUGAAUGUGUAUGGAGAAUUGUUACUUUCUA